GUUCAUGCUUGUUGGAGUAUGGGAACCACGGAGGAAAGAAAACAUGAGAUCGUGCCUCCAUCUGGUUCCUUAGCCCUUCUCCUGCACAAGUCUGAGACCCUUGAGAAGAUGCAACCCGUGGCUGCAUUGACACUCGGAGGAUCUACACUUUCUCUCUGGCAACUUUUAGAAUUGUCAUUUUUGGUUUUGGUUUCUUGAAACACACAUUUAUUUUCUUUACCUUUUGAGAACUCAUGACAUGACGACAAAGGAAUAAAAACUGGUAUAGACUUCCAACAAUGAAGAGAGUGUGGAGACGGUCUUCAGAGGAUACGCUAUGCUGUGAUAUGUGGAUUGUAGAAAGCAGGAGGAGGACUGGAGGCUGAUGAAGUGAGGUAGACAGAGGAAGAUGCCGGGAAGAACACACACAGUGUAGGCAAUUGUCAAGAGCGAUUUUUCUUGCAGAAUCUUGGAAGGGCUCAAUACUCAAGAACUCUAGAUUUGAUGGUGGGCAAGAGGGAGAUAGAUACGCGCUCACAGAAACCCUCUACUUCUUCACCUGGAGGUCAUGGGAAGGAUUGUUUCUCUCUAAACAAAUUGAGUUAGCUGUUCCUAGUGUGGGCGCUCAUGCCACAUCUGAGCUCCAUUCCUACUCAUCCUGAAAUGGAACCCAAUAAUCAACAAUGUCUGCUGGUGUACACCAAGUUCACCGUCAACCUUGCUAAUCCCCCCAGUGAGUAGGUAUUUGAGGGAAUUGUGAUAUGUAAAAAGAAACUGUGAAGUAGAGAAAUGUCCAAAUAGGAAAACAAGAGAUGAUUCAGGGUAAAUGAGGAACUUGAAAGAAAUGAAUUUGUAUCCUCGCAGGCAUUUAUGAAGACUCCACAUCAAUGAAAUAACAAAAUGUAAUUAAAAAGUGGGAGGAUAAGAUAGAGAAAAAAAAUUAAAAACAGAGUAUAAAAUGAUCAACAAAAACAUAACAUUUAGAAUAACUCAGGGCCUCAACAUCCAACUGACAGGAGAUCUAAAAAGAAAAAUACGUGAGAAGGAAUGACAAGGAAACAUUAUAAGAGAAUAUCCCAUAGUUGAAGAAUACAAAAGUUAAGAAAAGACAGCAAAUGAAACAUUUAAAAAUUCAAAACACUAAUACUUGCCACAGGUCUAGUGAGAGAUUAGUACAGAUUUUACAGCUGAAGGAAACUCUAAUUUCUCCACAUUUAUGAAGACAUCAUAAGCACAGAAAGGUUAGGUCAAUUUACCACGAUCACACAAGUGGUAAGUAGUAGGUUAGCGGUUGGAACCCGGUCAGACUGACUUCUAAGCCUGAACUCUCACUCCUUAUCAUAUGUUGUUUUUUCUUGUAACUUAUCUUAAAGUGAUUAAAGGUUUCCACUGGGAAAAUAAAAAUAGCAGUAUGUUCCACA